UGCCCGGGACGCACCGCUUUCUUCCCCCGCCGGCUCCCCGGGUCCGCUGGGAGGGCGGCCUCGGGACGGAGGAGACGACGAGUGAGUCCUGAAACCUCGCCCGGUUGGGUUCAGCCCCUGGCCUCUCCUCUCCACUAAGUUUCUCUUUGAAUCCGGCUGCGGGAAUGAUUCUCUCUGGGGUCCGCAGGCAGCUGGAUAUUCUGGGAGAGGAGCGGGAACACCGGUGAGGUCCUGCGCUGGGUAGUGGUGGUUCCCCGCCCACAGUGGGGAGGAGAGGUGGGGGGCUUGUGAUUCUUCGCAGGGGAGAGAAGAAGAGCUCAUUCUUUUUCCCUUGAAAAAGAAGCCAAGUCCGCAUGGCUCAGUGCCUUCACGUCGUGCAGCCAUCACCACUGUCCUGGUCCAUGCAGGCUGCUCAUGACUCAUUCACAGAACACCACAGUUCAGGAGGCUGGGAAUUCCCAGAUCAAGGUGCCAACACGGCUGGGUUCUGGGAGAGUGUUUGGGGCUGAAAAAUCUCUGGACCUACUCCCCAACACUCAGUGGCUGGCAUUCCAUGACCUAAGGGGUGGCCUGUCUGAAAGAAAGACAGUGCCCCAAGCCCUACUUUGAAAAAUGCUGCCAGUAGUAGCAGAAUUGGCCCUGCUGCUGUCUGUGACCAAGAGGAGACUUUCCUGAAACACCAGGGGCAAACUGGCCCCCAGAUAGAUCUUCAGGCUCUAACCACCGGAGAAAGCAACCCUGAUACCUUUCUAAGCCACACCAUGGGAUGUGGGAAACUGACAAAGAGAGCUUGGAUUCAUCUGGGUGACAUGAGAUCACACUGUCUGGAAAGAAUCCAGGACACGAGCAGCAGCCUUCAACGGAGAGAGCCCAAGUCCAAGCACAGGCUCGCUUCCUCAUCAGCCCGGUGGGUGACUUUACUCAAGUCGCUUACCCUCUGGGAGUUUCAGUUAUGCUGUCACAAAAUGAGGUUAGUCAGACCUUUUUCACAGUUUGUUAUGAGUAGUAACUGAACAAAGGCAUCAAGACCUUUUUACUGGGGUGGCUGCUUGAUGGUGGGACUCAAUGGCCCUCCAGCCUCUAAGCUACCUGAGGAUAGGGACAUAUCUGUCUCAGGCCCCAAUACAUACUUAGCUCUCAGCGCCUGACAAUUCCCUGUCUCUGGCAUGUGUACCAUGCUCAACGGACGAGCGUUACCUAAAUGCAUGAAUGGCUGUGUUCUUUUUCCUCCAACACUCUACAUAGGGUCACUCCAGGGAUCACACGAGCCAAUAGGUGGAAGCAUUUAGACAACUUGACACUUUCCAGACAGAGGCAAGCAGCAGUGCCGUAUCUGGGGGCCCACUUUCAGAGGAUCCACUGGAGCCAGAGCGUGAUUCAGUCUGGCAGACCAGAGAUUAUUUAAUUUUUCUAAUAUAUUGGGGCCUUCUGUCUUCUGACUAGUAAUAAAUCACGUUCUUCUUAUGCAAAAAAAAGUCAAAUCUAAACCAAAUGUGAGCAAGAGUGUGUGGUGCAAGGCUGAGAACGUGGAACUGAAUCAUGAGAUUUGAGGAUUAUAAACACAGCAGGCCACAGGGUUCUUUUCAAGGGACGACAUUCAAUUCCUUCGUGGGGCUGCUUCCCAGAGAAGGAGCAAUCUGGCAAGGUAAAGAAAACGUGCCAUUCCAGUUCAGUUUUAACCCUGAGAGAAAUCCAUUCUUGACGCACACUUGUGGUGUGAAUUCUACAUAUGCAAAUGAGCAAUGGUGAAAAGGCUCUUGGGAAAUAAUUAUUAGUGAAGUCUAAAUAAACUGGUAAUUUGGAAAGUAAUCUUCAUGAUAAAUAAACGACGUUCCAUAACUAAUUAGUUUUGAGCUAACCAAGUGUGAUUACAGAGCUGAGCUUUUAGGGUUACUGAGGCUUUCAAAUUUUGGCAAAUAAAGUAGUUGGUGUGGCUGCUGCAUCCUGAGAAUGCCAAGGGGACAAGGCACCCCUGGAUCCUAGAUGUGACGGUGUCAGUUGACACAGUCCUCUGGAAGUGAAAAUGGUAUACUAAGAGACCCAAAUUGCAUAAUUGGAUGGUAACUAAUUUAGAAAUGUGAUUUUUUGAAGAUGAAAUUUGAAUUAAUGGUGUGUGACUUUGUGUAGCAAGCUAAUUGGAAGAAAGACAAGUCAAAGAGUAUAUUGUAUGCACUAUUACUUAAAAGAAAUGUAACUGUAUUCCUUUUAUGUACAUGUUAUAACUAAAAUUCUUAUUUACUUAUCUUUUUUGCACUUCAUACAAAUUGCUUAGUUAAAUAUUUAUUGGAAGGCUCUAAGGGAUCUGCAUCAAUAAACAUUUAAGCAUGAUGUGUGUUGGUCAUAUCCAUGG